AGCAAGGGCACUCUGUGUUAUCAUGUUACUGUGUGAUAAAACAAUUUGUAACCUUGCCAAAUUAAAGCAUUUCAAAUUUAUUUAUAAAUUAUUUUAAAUUUAUAAUUAAUUUAAAAAUGCAACAUUAU